GUAAGGAAUAUUGGACAAUGGGGGAAACCCUGAUCCAGCCAUGCCGCGUGAGUGAAGAAGGCCUUCGGGUUGUAAAGCUCUUUCAGAUGUGAAGAUGAUGACGGUAACAUCAGAAGAAGCUCCGGCUAACUUCGUGCCAGCAGCCGCGGUAAUAUGAAGGGAGCGAGCGUUGUUCGGAAUCACUGGGCGUAAAGAGUGCGUAGGCGGUUAUACAAGUCAGGAGUGAAAUCCCAGGGCUCAACCCUGGAAUUGCUUUUGAAACUGUAUAGCUAGAGUCCCGGAGGGGUUAAUGGAAUUCCGAGUGUAGAGGUGAAAUUCGCAGAUAUUCGGAGGAACACCAGUGGCGAAGGCGAUUAACUGGACGGGCACUGACGCUGAGGCACGAAAGCGUGGGGAUCAAACAGGAUUAGAAACCCGUGU
rnacentral:rRNA from 1 species